GAUGAACGCCGGCGGUGUGCCUAAUACAUGCAAGUCGUACGCACUGGCCCAACUGAUUGAUGGUGCUUGCACCUGAUUGACGAUGGAUCACCAGUGAGUGGCGGACGGGUGAGUAACACGUAGGUAACCUGCCCCGGAGCGGAGGAUAACAUUUGGAAACAGAUGCUAAUACCGCAUAACAACAAAAGCCACAUGGCUUUUGUUUGAAAGAUGGCUUUGGCUAUCACUCUGGGAUGGACCUGCGGUGCAUUAGCUAGUUGGUAAGGUAAUGGCUUACCAAGGCGAUGAUGCAUAGCCGAGUUGAGAGACUGAUCGGCCACAAUGGAACUGAGACACGGUCCAUACUCCUACGGGAGGCAGCAGUAGGGAAUCUUCCACAAUGGGCGCAAGCCUGAUGGAGCAACACCGCGUGAGUGAAGAAGGGUUUCGGCUCGUAAAGCUCUGUUGUUGGAGAAGAACGUGCGUGAGAGUAACUGUUCACGCAGUGACGGUAUCCAACCAGAAAGUCAC
rnacentral:rRNA from 1 species